rnacentral:pre_miRNA from 1 species
UCUUAUGGAUGAGCAAAGAAAGUGGUUUUUUUGAGAUAAAACCUACUCCUGAAGGGAAGAUGCUGUGAA